rnacentral:rRNA from 1 species
GUCUGAAUAUGGGGGGACCAUCCUCCAAGGCUAAAUACUCCUGACUGACCGAUAGUGAACCAGUACCGUGAGGGAAAGGCGAAAAGAACCCCGGCGAGGGGAGUGAAAAAGAACCUGAAACCGUGUACGUACAAGCAGUGGGAGCACGCUUAGGCGUGUGACUGCGUACCUUUUGUAUAAUGGGUCAGCGACUUAUAUUCUGUAGCAAGGUUAACCGAAUAGGGGAGCCGAAGGGAAACCGAGUCUUAACUGGGCGUUAAGUUGCAGGGUAUAGACCCGAAACCCGGUGAUCUAGCCAUGGGCAGGUUGAAGGUUGGGUAACACUAACUGGAGGACCGAACCGACUAAUGUUGAAAAAUUAGCGGAUGACUUGUGGCUGGGGGUGAAAGGCCAAUCAAACCGGGAGAUAGCUGGUUCUCCCCGAAAGCUAUUUAGGUAGCGCCUCGUGAAUUCAUCUCCGGGGGUAGAGCACUGUUUCGGCAAGGGGGUCAUCCCGACUUACCAACCCGAUGCAAACUGCGAAUACCGGAGAAUGUUAUCACGGGAGACACACGGCGGGUGCUAACGUCCGUCGUGAAGAGGGAAACAACCCAGACCGCCAGCUAAGGUCCCAAAGUCAUGGUUAAGUGGGAAACGAUGUGGG